CAGCCGCCGCGGUAAUACCGGCGGCCCGAGUGGCGGUCACUAUUAUUGGGCUUAAAGCGUCCGUAGCCGGGUUGGGAAGUCCUCCGGGAAAUCUGGCCGCUUAACGGUCAGAAUGCCGGAGGAUACUCCCAGCCUAGGGAGCGGGAGAGGCCGAGGGUAUUCCCGGAGUAGGGGUGAAAUCCUAUAAUCCCGGGAGGACCACCUGUGGCGAAGGCGCUCGGCUGGAACGCGUCCGACGGGGAGGGACGAAGGCCAGGGGAGCAAACCGGAUUAGAUACCCGGGUAGUCCCGGCUGUAAACGAUGCGGGCUAGCUGUUGGGUGGGCUUAGAGCCCACCCAGUGGCGCAGGGAAGCCGUUAAGCCCGCCGCCUGGGGAGUACGGCCGCAAGGCUGAAACUUAAAGGAAUUGGCGGG
rnacentral:rRNA from 1 species